rnacentral:rRNA from 1 species
CCUACGGGAGGCAGCAGUGAGGAAUAUUGGUCAAUGGACGAGAGUCUGAACCAGCCAAGUAGCGUGCAGGAUGACUGCCCUAUGGGUUGUAAACUUCUUUUAUAUGGGAAUAACAUGUUUCACGUGUGGGAUUUUGUAUGUACCAUAUGAAUAAGGACCGGCUAAUUCCGUGCCAGCAGCCGCGGUAAUACGGAGGAUCCGAGCGUUAUCCGGCUUUAUUGGGUUUAAAGGGAGCGUAGGUGGAUUGUUAAGUCAGUUGUGAAAGUUUGCGGCUCAACCGUAAAAUUGCAGUUGAAACUGGCGGUCUUGAGGACAGUAGAGGUGGGCGGAAUUCGUGGUGUAGCGGUGAAAUGCUUAGAUAUCACGAAGAACUCCGAUUGCGAAGGCAGCUCACUGGACUGCAACUGACACUGAGGCUCGAAAGUGUGGGUAUCAAACAGGAUUAGAUACCCGAGUAGUC